AUGGCGGCGGGCGGCGACCUGACCGACGACGAGCGCAAAGCGCUGCGGGGGAGCAAGUUCGCGCCCCUCCCGGCGCCACCGCCGUCCUCCCGCCCCAACCCGAGGAUGGCCCAUCCUGGAGGACCACUGACUACAAAUAAGGCUGCUGCUUUAGCGAAAUUCCUCGAGAGAAAACUACAGCAACCUGAUGGCUUGGACUCUCUAAAUCCUGAUCUUGUAAAUUUGGCUGUGAAAAAUGCAAUGGAAACCAUAAAGGCAAGCAAGGGUGAGGCCUCAACUUCUGGGAGAGUAGUACGGCAUGUUCCAUCAUUUGAGGAUUCCUCUGAGGUUUCCAAUCAAGAUGACGGGGAGCAGAGACAGGAAAAGAAGAAAAAGAAAAAGAAAAAGAGAAAAACAAAGGCCGCUAAAGAUAAGCUCCACAAUACAUCAAAGAAGAAAAAGAAGUUAUCGCUAUGA
rnacentral:rRNA from 1 species